ACGAACGCUGGCGGCGUGCUUAACACAUGCAAGUCGAACGGAAAGGCCCUGCUUUUGUGGGGUGCUCGAGUGGCGAACGGGUGAGUAACACGUGAGUAACCUGCCCUUGACUUUGGGAUAACUUCAGGAAACUGGGGCUAAUACCGGAUAGGAGCUCCUGCUGCAUGGUGGGGGUUGGAAAGUUUCGGCGGUUGGGGAUGGACUCGCGGCUUAUCAGCUUGUUGGUGGGGUAGUGGCUUACCAAGGCUUUGACGGGUAGCCGGCCUGAGAGGGUGACCGGCCACAUUGGGACUGAGACACGGCCCAGACUCCUACGGGAGGCAGCAGUGGGGAAUAUUGCACAAUGGGCGGAAGCCUGAUGCAGCAACGCCGCGUGCGGGAUGACGGCCUUCGGGUUGUAAACCGCUUUCGCCUGUGACGAAGCGUGAGUGACGGUAAUGGGUAAAGAAGCACCGGCUAACUACGUG
rnacentral:rRNA from 1 species